UUUUAUUGUUGUGAGAAUCUCUGAUAAACGAUCGGUUGUUUCACUAUUAGGCAAGAAUAUUGGAAGUAGGGAAUAGCAAAAAGACAAUUUUAGUGAUUGCAGUUGAAUUUUUGGUAAGUUUUGGCUUCGUUGAAGGUUUCGUGUCGAAACUUUUGACAUAUGCGUUAAGUGCGUAUUUGGGAAAUUUUGUGAUUAAAGGGCUUAAUUGUUUGACUGAAUGAUUUUUUU
rnacentral:lncRNA from 1 species